GAAUCUGCCAUUUGCGAAUUGCAGAUGCUGCGGUCUCAAUUUACCAAGCUUCUGCAAGAAAAGGAAAAUGCGGAAGAAUGCCAUCUCCGGAGUCAAAGAACUAUUAAAGAUUUAAGUUCUGAGGUCCUUGAAUUGAAGUCAGAAAUAAUUGACAAAGAGAAGGGCUAUGAAGCUAGAAUGAAAGAAUUGGAGAUAGAUAUGCAAGAAAAGGAUUCAUCACUUAUUUUAUGGCAUAAAGAGAAAGAGGCACUUGAAUUUGAGCUCGCAGAGGCAAAAUGUCUUGCCCUACAGAAAUCAAUUGAGGCAUCAAUUCUUUUAGCCAAGUUUCAAGAAGCACAGGCAACUAUAGCUGAUGCAGACUCUACAGUCAAGGCACUGGUGGAAUUGAAUGAAAAUGCAAAACAUCAAGCAGAGAAGUACAAGCAAAAGGAAUCUUCAUUUACUAUUGAAAAGGAUGACUUGCUAAGUGAGGUCAGUAGUUUGAAGAUGCUGCUGGAUGUGAAGGAACUAACUUACCUGGAUAUGGAAAAUAAAUUUGGAUCAAGCCUGCUUGAAGCAAAUGAGGUAGCUCUUGAACUGGAAGAUGGCAUCAGACACCUGAAGAAUUCGCUAACGGAGAACCUUGAGUUUGUUUCGUCUAAUAUUGAAUGGAUGAAGUCAAAACUUCAGCAGUUUGCAGAGUUGGCAAGAGCUUGGUUGGAGGAGAAUUGGUUAGAGAUAAUUGGAAAAGAUUAUGCUGUUUCUGUGUUACACCUGUGCCAUAUGGGGAUUUUUUCAGCGAGAAUUACUGGGCUGCAUGCAGAAAAUGGU
rnacentral:rRNA from 1 species